rnacentral:lncRNA from 1 species
GCGAUCUCGGUGGCUUUCUUGUUCCCUUUCGCUUCCGCCGUUGCUGCAAGGACAUCAUCAUGGUAUCACAGUAUGAGACUCUGUAGAGAGGCGGCGAAGCAAUCGACCAUCAUAAUUAAAGAGCAGAAGUAAUAAGCGGAGGCGGUCAGAACAGAGAUGAAUAGCAGAAUGCAGGUGAAGGAAGAAUGCGGGGGAGGUGAACUUGUGGCAUGAUCGAAUGAGAGAUUCUCUCCGAUAGAGAUGAUCAGUUGAUGUAAUCUGACCUCGGAUUCAUUCAUUGGAGGGAGGAAUGAGGGAUUGGUGGGGGAAAUCAGUUGUGAUCUUCGGAAAUUGGAAAAAAUAAGGACUAUUUGAAAAGGCGGGGGAAAAAAGGGAAGUGGCCCAAAUAUUUUGGGCUGGCGCCUGCAGCUUUACAGUCAAAUGGUAAAAGUCUUUAAAACGAAAUUGACCCAUUUUUACUGUUGUUUAAACACGCUGGAGCUCAGAGUCCAUUUUGGCCUUUUGGAUUAAACGCCGACCCGAAAGAAGAACGGCCUAAAUUUUUAGACUCAAGCCCGCCAUCCCACGGUCAAACAACCAAACCCUGCAAACGCUCUCAACCAGACCCAGGAAAAAGCCGCGACCAGCCUCGUUUCACGCGCCAAUUUUAACAUUCUUUUUUGGAAGUGGUCAAUUUUUAGUAAAUUUGAUUUUUAAAUGUAUUUGAUCAUUUGUACAGGGUUACCAUAAUGACACUUAAUUUUUUAACCAUUUCCAACAUUCAUGUCCAAUAUUAGUUGAUUUGAAAAUUUUCUUGUGAAAGUGGUC